rnacentral:snRNA from 1 species
GCAUCAGGUCUCCAAGGU